rnacentral:tRNA from 1 species
GCGCCCGUAGCUCAAUUGGAUAGAGCGUUGGCCUCCGGAGCCAAAGGUUGAGGGUUCGAUCCCCCCCGGGCGUACCA